rnacentral:sRNA from 1 species
AAGGAACAUCAUUCAUAUUGUCUGACGACUUAUCCAACAGAAAUGUCUUCUAGGAAAUAAAAUUCUAAUGUAUUUCAGAACCAUCAAUACUCCAAUUCAUUAAAGUCAUAGGUCAAUUCAUUAAAUGAUAUCCUUUUAGGAUACCAUGAUGAGUUACUCCUUCUCUUCUAUCCUAUUUUAUGGUAUACUUAAUUUGAAUUGUCAAAUAUUCAUUGAAUGAAACUAUUAAGAGACAGAAGAAGAAAAAAUUAACUCAUGAAGGAAAAAAAUGAACUUUUGCCAGCCACAAUAUAAGCUAAUGCUUCUCUCUUUUCUUGUUAUUUUUACUCCUUUGCUUUCCUUUACUUGUUCCCUACAAAAUUCUUGUGAUCUCACCGUAUCUUUGGGCUGUAAUCUUGAUUCUUAACACAGCACCUGAGCAAGAAUGAAUGCAUAUUUUGGAUUCCUCCUCCUAACUCAUGAUGAUACCUUACUAGAGUUAUGAGGACCUAGCAAGUCAUCACAAUUUGUUUCCUCACAGAGGCACUCAUGAGGAUUGGCAUAGAAGUAGUCCUCUUCCUUUGGCUUAUCUAAGAUAGCUCUACGCCUAGUUGGCUGAGCAAUUCUCCUCUCAUGAACCACUCUCACAGCAUCUCCAAACUGAAUCCAUGAAAGGGUUCCAUUUUGAUGCAUAUCAACUAAUUCUACCACCUUUUUUCGGUCUAAUAAGAUGGUCUUUUUAAAACCAGAAUACCUGCGAUGACCUUCCACUAGUUUCGCCAUGUUCCCAUCAUAGGUAGGAACAAAUGCGUUACUGGCUACUGAAACCAUAAAAUCCAAGGCUGCCAUCUGAGAUGAAUGAUUCUGGAACUGUCGCAACUCGUCCCAGGUUAGCAAUGUUUCCUUUUUCACCUAAAAUUGCGAAGAAGAAAAGUCAGAUGCUUCCAUGCAGAACAAUUUGAAAGGGAAGAAAGGAGGAUCAAAAAGAGAAAAUGCACAUUUAGAUCAGGGCCAACAGGUCUGAGGGCUAGACCAAUUUUCAACCACAGACAGAAUGCACAAGGAAAAAUUUGCAUAAUCCACAACAACCCAUUAGUAUUAUUCUGAACCAUUUUAAUAUCCAAAAAAUAAACAGAAAGUUAGUAGGAAAAACUAUAAUCCAAUGAAAACUCACAAUUCGUGGAUAUACAGAUCUCAAUUGUGCAAGUCUGCGUUCACCACCAUAAAUCUCACCAGCUGCAAUAUAGAUCUGAGUCUCCCUACCAAAACCUAAGGCUCGCAGAACUAAGGCUGCCUCCUCUGGUGUCAGAGGACAUAAGCCCUGUGAUCUCCGCUCCUCAGAAAUGAUCUCCUUUUCCUUCCACCAAGGGAAAGCAUACCUGAAUUACAAGAGGAAUUCAAUAUUGUGGCUCAUAGCAGAAUUU